rnacentral:rRNA from 1 species
CGAGAUGAGUUCUCCCUGACUUAAAGUCAGUAAGGGUUGUUUAAGACUAAGACGUAGAUAGGCUGGGUGUGUAAGCGGUGUGAGCCGUUGAGCUAACCAGUACUAAUUGCCCGAGAGGCUUAACUAUACAACGCUGAAGGGUUUU